rnacentral:rRNA from 1 species
GAUGAACGCUGGCGGCGUGCCUAAUACAUGCAAGUCGAGCGGACAGACGAGGAUCUUGCUCCUCUGACGUUAGCGGCGGACGGGUGAGUAACACGUGGAUAACCUACCUAUAAGACUGGGAUAACUUCGGGAAACCGGAGCUAAUACCGGAUAAUAUAUUGAACCGCAUGGUUCAAUAGUGAAAGACGGUUUUGCUGUCACUGAUAGAUGGAUCCGCGCCGCAUUAUCUAGUUGGUGAGGUAACGGCUUACCAAGGCAACGAUGCGUAGUCGACCUGAGAGUGUGAUCGGGCACACUGGAACUGAGACACGGUCCAGGCUCCUACGGGAGGCAGCAGUAGGGAAUCUUCCGCAAUGGGCGAAAGCCUGACGGAGCAACGCCGCGUGAGUGAUGAAGGUCUUCGGAUCGUAAAACUCUGUUAUUAGGGAAGAACAAAUGUGUAAGUAACUAUGCACGUCUUGACGGUACCUAAUCAGAAAGCCACGGCUAACUACGUG